GCAGAUUUUGUUUUGAUGUGUUUUUACAAAGGUUAAAUUAUAUGGCUAUUAAUAAACCAUCUCUUUUUAUACACUUGAUGAAAUCCUCUCUGUUGACUUGUUAAAUUUCAAUGCUGUGCUUUGUAUUCCUAAUAUGUCAGUCGUCGUAGCGGUGUCAUUGCAGACCACAGGACUGUCAGAAUUUGUUGUAAACAAGUUUUCUUUGUUGCUUCCUUUCUGCCCUUUUGAUAGUUCCUCCAGCUGUACUCAGUGUAGGGUCUGUCCUGCAGGCUCAGAGGCUCUACAGACCGCUUCCAAAGAAUGUACGCCUUGUCGCCCAGGAAUGCACAAGCCUUCCCAACAAACCAUGUGUCAGAUUUGCAGCAGUGGUUUUUAUCAGAUCCACUGGGGCCAAGAGAACUGUGACGUGUGUCCUGAAAACCACUACUGCCCUAGUCCUGAUGUAAAUCCGAUCCAGUGUCCCGCUGAUGCGUUCUGUCCUGAGGGCAGCACGGCCCCUGGUUACUGCAUGGAGACCUUCUUCAGAAAGGCAGGGGAGACGUGUGAACUUGCUCCUGUUACCAUUGCACUGCUUGUUAUUGGAGGAGGAGUGGGUCUUCUCUUCAUCAUCGUUUUGGUUCUGCGGAAGAGAAGAGAUAAUGACAGCGAGCUUUCCCUUGCUCGGACGCCCCUCCUGCGAAAGGACCGCACACCUGGCCGCUUCCAUGGAGUCCCUCGUGAUGCAGAGCCUGUUUAUGCAGGCUGGUGACAUUAACAACUACACUGACCUGUUUUCAGCUGCACAGAUUUUGUCUGAAAGUUUCUGUUGAGAACUUUAUAUUGGUAAGAUACUAUUAAAUAUUUAAUGAAUGAAGAGGCACUUUUCUGCAUUCCAUUUUUAAAACCUGUUUACUACUGAUCAUGUUGUGGAGUUACGUCUCUUUUGAUUCUGACUGCUUUUGCAGUCUGGAAAUUAUGAGAAACCAUUUAGUAUUUUUGGGGUGUUUUCUUUUGUAUGAAUUUUGCAUCGGAUAUUAUGUUAAGCCAUGGCACUGAAUGGAAUUUGGACUAAGUUGCUGGAUUAUGCUUAUCUUGUUCACAGAUGUGUGUUUACUUUUUUUUUGGUACCACUAUAUUUGUUUACCUAGGGUCCUCAAGGUAUAUUGUAUUAUAUAAAUUUGCAAUAUUUCUUGUAUUUAACAUGUGAUGUCACAUAUUACUUUUAAAACAAAACAUUUUGGACAUUUUCCAAGGUUGUAAACUUCUUUUCACAACUUUGAUAUAAAAGUGUGGUGUCUUCUUUAUGCAAGUUUGACGGGUCAUUUCUGAAACUUCCCUUCAGAAAUUCCCAACAUGUACUUUCAAUAUCUGAACUGUCAUAUGACAGUUACUAAUUACUAACUCCUGUUACUAAUUAUAGAGAAAAUAUCAGACACUUUUAUUAAAACAGGAACAUCAUUAGGCACCAUAGGUAUAUAUAGGUAAACAAAAUAUACCUAUAUAAAAUGUGUUAAAACAAUAAAUUAUUUUUAAGACAGCA
ensembl:lncRNA